rnacentral:rRNA from 1 species
GAUGAACGCUGGCGGCGUGCCUAAUACAUGCAAGUCGAGCGAACGGACGAGAAGCUUGCUUUUCUGAUGUUAGCGGCGGACGGGUGAGUAACACGUGGAUAACCUACCUAUAAGACUGGGAUAACUUCGUGAAACCGGAGCUAAUUCCGGAUAAUAUUUUGAACCGCAUGGAUCAAAAGUGAAAGACGGUCUUGCUGUCACUUAUAGAUGGAUCCGCGCUGCAUUAGCUAGUUGGUAAGGUAACGGCUUACCAAGGCAACGAUGCAUAGCCGACCUGAGAGGAUGAUCGGCCACACUGGAACUGAGACACGGUCCAGACUCCUACGGGAGGCAGCAGUAGGGAAUCUUCCGCAAUGGGCGAAAGCCUGACGGAGCAACGCCGCGUGAGUGAUGAAGGUCUUCGGAUCGUAAAACUCUGUUAUUAGGGAAGAACAUAUGUGUAAGUAACUGUGCACAUCUUGACGGUACCUAAUCAGAAAGCCACGGCUAACUACGUG